AUUGAACGCUGGCGGCAGGCCUAACACAUGCAAGUCGAACGAGUGGCAGACGGGUGAGUAAUGUCUGGGAAACUGCCUGAUGGAGGGGGAUAACUACUGGAAACGGUAGCUAAUACCGCAUACCAUCGGAUGUGCCCAGGUGGGAUUAGCUAGUGGGUGGGGUAACGGCUCACCUGGGCGACGAUCCCUAGCUGGUCUGAGAGGAUGACCAGCCAACCGGGAACUGAGACACGGUCCAGACUCCUACGGGAGGCAGCAGGGGGGAAUAUUGCACAAUGGGCGCAAGCCUGAUGCAGCCAUGCCGCGUGUAUGAAGAAGGCCUUAGGGUUGUAAAGUACUUACAGCGGGGAGGCGUUACCCGCAGAAGAAGCACCGGCUAACUCCGUGCCAGCAGCCGCGGUAAUAC
rnacentral:rRNA from 1 species